AAACCUGGGUCGUAGACCCAUAGCCCAACCCAACAGCUAACUCCAGUUACUAUAUAUAUAUACACACACAUCCAGCAAAACCCUAACCCCCAAUUUUCUCUCUCUCUCUCUCUCUCGCGCGCGCACGAAGCCUCCAGUCAAAGAUACAACACAACCAUGGGUAAGGUUCAUGGAUCGCUAGCACGUGCCGGUAAGGUGAGAGGCCAAACUCCAAAAGUGGCCAAGCAGGACAAGAAGAAGAAGCCCCGCGGCCGUGCUCACAAGCGUAUGCAGUACAAUCGCCGCUUCGUCACCGCCGUUGUUGGCUUUGGAAAGAAGAGGGGACCCAACUCUUCUGAGAAGUAAGCUCACUCUAAUGAGAAUUAAGCUCAAGAUCUUGAAAAAAAUCAAAACAAGAAGCAC